rnacentral:rRNA from 1 species
AGAGUUUGAUCCUGGCUCAGGAUGAACGCUGGCGGCGUGCUUAACACAUGCAAGUCGAGCGAAGCACAUAAGUUUGAUUCUUCGGAUGAAGACUUUUGUGACUGAGCGGCGGACGGGUGAGUAACGCGUGGGUAACCUGCCUCAUACAGGGGGGAUAACAGUUAGAAAUGGCUGCUAAUACCGCAUAAGACCACAGUACUGCAUGGUACAGUGGUAAAAACUCCGGUGGUAUGAGAUGGACCCGCGUCUGAUUAGGUAGUUGGUGAGGUAACGGCCCACCAAGCCGACGAUCAGUAGCCGACCUGAGAGGGUGACCGGCCACAUUGGGACUGAGACACGGCCCAGACUCCUACGGGAGGCAGCAGUGGGGAAUAUUGCACAAUGGGCGAAAGCCUGAUGCAGCGACGCCGCGUGAAGGAUGAAGUAUUUCGGUAUGUAAACUUCUAUCAGCAGGGAAGAAAAUGACGGUACCUGACUAAGAAGCCCCGGCUAACUACGUGCCAGCAGCCGCGGUAAUACGUAGGGGGCAAGCGUUAUCCGGAUUUAUUGGGUGUAAAGGGUGCGUAGACGGGAAAGCAAGUUAGUUGUGAAAUCCCUCGGCUUAACUGAGGAACUGCAACUAAAACUACUUUUCUUGAGUGUUGGAGAGGAAAGUGGAAUUCCUAGUGUAGCGGUGAAAUGCGUAGAUAUUAGGAGGAACACCGGUGGCGAAGGCGACUUUCUGGACAAUAACUGACGUUGAGGCACGAAAGUGUGGGGAGCAAACAGGAUUAGAUGCCCUGGUAGUCCACACCGUAAACGAUGGAUACUAGGUGUAGGGAACAUUAAGUUUUCUGUGCCGUCGCAAACGCAAUAAGUAUCCCACCUGGGGAGUACGGCCGCAAGGUUGAAACUCAAAGGAAUUGACGGGGGCCCGCACAAGCAGUGGAGUAUGUGGUUUAAUUCGACGCAACGCGAAGAACCUUACCAGGGCUUGACAUACAGAUGAAUAUACUAGAGAUAGUAUAGCUCUUCGGAGCAUCUGUACAGGUGGUGCAUGGUUGUCGUCAGCUCGUGUCGUGAGAUGUUAGGUUAAGUCCUGCAACGAGCGCAACCCCUGUGAUUAGUUGCCGACAGGUAAAGCUGGGAACUCUAAUCAGACUGCCGGUGAUAAAUCGGAGGAAGGUGGGGAUGACGUCAAAUCAUCAUGCCCUUUAUGUCCUGGGCUACACACGUACUACAAUGGCUGUAACAGAGAGAAGCAAAACAGUGAUGUUGAGCAAAACUUUAAAAAGCAGUCUCAGUUCGGAUUGAAGGCUGAAAUUCGCCUUCAUGAAGCCGGAAUUGCUAGUAAUGGCAGGUCAGCAUACUGCCGUGAAUACGUUCCCGGGCCUUGCACACACCGCCCGUCA